rnacentral:rRNA from 1 species
AGUCGAACGAUGAUCCUCAGCUUGCUGGGGGGAUUAGUGGCGAACGGGUGAGUAACACGUGAGUAACCUGCCCUUGACUCUGGGAUAAGCCUGGGAAACUGGGUCUAAUACCGGAUAUGACUGCUCCGCGCAUGCGGUGGUGGUGGAAAGCUUUUGCGGUUUUGGAUGGACUCGCGGCCUAUCAGCUUGUUGGUGGGGUAAUGGCCUACCAAGGCGACGACGGGUAGCCGGCCUGAGAGGGUGACCGGCCACACUGGGACUGAGACACGGCCCAGACUCCUACGGGAGGCAGCAGUGGGGAAUAUUGCACAAUGGGCGAAAGCCUGAUGCAGCGACGCCGCGUGAGGGAUGACGGCCUUCGGGUUGUAAACCUCUUUCAGUAGGGAAGAAGCGAAAGUGACGGUACCUGCAGAAGAAGCGCCGGCUAACUACGUGCCAGCAGCCGCGGUAAUACGUAGGGCGCAAGCGUUAUCCGGAAUUAUUGGGCGUAAAGAGCUCGUAGGCGGUUUGUCGCGUCUGCUGUGAAAGACCGGGGCUCAACUCCGGUUCUGCAGUGGGUACGGGCAGACUAGAGUGAUGUAGGGGAGACUGGAAUUCCUGGUGUAGCGGUGAAAUGCGCAGAUAUCAGGAGGAACACCGAUGGCGAAGGCAGGUCUCUGGGCAUUAACUGACGCUGAGGAGCGAAAGCAUGGGGAGCGAACAGGAUUAGAUACCCUGGUAGUCCAUGCCGUAAACGUUGGGCACUAGGUGUGGGGGACAUUCCACGUUUUCCGCGCCGUAGCUAACGCAUUAAGUGCCCCGCCUGGGGAGUACGGCCGCAAGGCUAAAACUCAAAGGGA